UUAUGUCUAAGUUUGCAAAUUUAGCAUUCAAACAAUAGAAUAUGUGUACAUCAAGAAGGUUGUAUAGCAAAAUAUUGGUCUUCAUCGUCGAAGAAAUGAUCGUUCAAUUAAGGGGGAGAAAUUAGUUUAUCUUAAAAGGAUAUUGUACUCUUUUUUCUUCACUAGAUUUUUUCUCACAGAGUUUUUUUUCUAUUAAGGUUUUAACGAGGCAUAUUCUAAACAAAC
rnacentral:lncRNA from 1 species